GUGGCCUACGGGACGCAGCAGUGAGGAAUACUGGUCAAUGGGCGAGAGCCUGAACCAGCCAAGUCGCGUGAGGGAAGACGGUCCUAUGGAUUGUAAACCUCUUUUGUCGGGGAGCAAAAAGGCCUCGUGAGGCCACAAGCGAGAGUACCCGAAGAAAAAGCAUCGGCUAACUCCGUGCCAGCAGCCGCGGUAAUACGGAGGAUGCGAGCGUUAUCCGGAUUUAUUGGGUUUAAAGGGUGCGUAGGCGGUUUGAUAAGUUAUAGGUGAACUGUCGGGGCUCAACCCCGCAACUGCCUCUAAUACUG
rnacentral:rRNA from 1 species